GACGAACGCUGGCGGCGUGCCUAACACAUGCAAGUCAACUUGACUGAAGGAGCAAUCUGACAGUAGAGUGGCGCAAGGGUGCGUAACGCGUAAGUAACUUGCCCAAGGUAAGGAAUAACGUCGAGAAAUCGGCGCUAAUACCUCAUAAUGCAGCGGAUCCGCAUGGAUAUGUUGUUAAAGGUUUAACCGGCCUUGGGAUAGGCUUGCGUCUGAUUAGCUAGUUGGUGUGGUAACGGCACACCAAGGACUACGAUCAGUAACUGGUCUGAGAGGAUGAUCAGUCACACUGGAACUGAGACACGGUCCAGACUCCUACGGGAGGCAGCAGUGAGGAAUAUUGGGCAAUGCUCGAAAGAGUGACCCAGCAACGCCGCGUGGAGGAUGAAGGUAUUCUAUAUCGUAAACUCCUGUGAGAGCAGACGAAAGAACAGAUUAUUAAUCUGGAUGACUGUAUGCUCAGAGGAAG
rnacentral:rRNA from 1 species